GACGAACGCUGGCGGCGUGCUUAACACAUGCAAGUCGAGCGAGGGGCUUCGGCUCCUAGCGGCGAACGGGUGAGUAACACGUGGGCAACCUGCCCCGAGCUCUGGAAUAACUUCGGGAAACCGGGGCUAAUGCCGGAUAUGACAUCACUGGGCAUCUGGUGGUGUGGAAAGAUUUAUCGGCUCGGGAUGGGCCCGCGGCCUAUCAGCUUGUUGGUGGGGUGAUGGCCUACCAAGGCGACGACGGGUAGCCGGCCUGAGAGGGCGACCGGCCACACUGGGACUGAGACACGGCCCAGACUCCUACGGGAGGCAGCAGUGGGGAAUAUUGCGCAAUGGGCGAAAGCCUGACGCAGCGACGCCGCGUGGGGGAUGACGGCC
rnacentral:rRNA from 1 species